rnacentral:lncRNA from 1 species
CGCGCGCGCCUCCCUUGCUCCCCAGCGCUCACGCUCGCGCGCAGUUCCCUCUCGCCGGCUAGCCUUCAGCCGCCGACGUCUCGGCCCCUCAGAAAGCCGGUCGCGCCAUGUCUUCGCCUCCCGAGGGAAAGCUAGAGACGAAAGCAGGACACCCGCCCGCCGUGAAAGCUGGUGGGAUGCGAAUUGUGCAGAAACAUCCGCACUCUGGAGAUGCCAAGGAAGAGAAGGACAAGGACGACCAGGAGUGGGAAAGCCCCAGAAGCCCCAUGCCUCCAUAGACAAGCAUCCAUGCCCGAGAACCCAGCACAUCCAGCAGCCUCGCAAGUGAUCGGCGAGCACCCACCACCCACCCUAGCCUCGGUUCCCUGACACUUGGUAUUUCCCGACAAAGAGGACUGGCAUCUUCUUCAAAACACUUCCCCGUGGAGAAAUCCAAGACAAAGCAAAACUCCCCUUCCGUUGCCUUAAAUUUCCACAUCUAACACUAGAAUCAGACCCCAAACCUUGUUUGCAGGGAGUCCUGGCUGGUAUCACUUGAGGGUCCUUGGGCCUCUUACAAGUGCCAUUAGCAGAACUUACCGGACCUGAGUGAAAUGAGCUUGUUCAGAGUUUAGCUUUGUUCCCAUUCAUUGGCUGCCCUGUCAGUGGACUUAAAAACAAGCGGGCACAGAUUUUGGAGGGUUAGAGGAAGGUCAGGGGAAAGCUCAGUCAUUUCAUGCUUUUUGGUAAGAGGACCAUAACGUCUUAACACCUAGUGGACAGAGAAAGAGAUGAAGGCAUUGAUUACAGGAAGGCUGAGCAGGGGAGACUUUUGAAACAGGCAACAGCAUCGCUGUAUUUCCCUCCCUUGUGUGACAAGGGAUCACAGCACAGGAGACACCAAGCACUCACAGAAGGGCCACGGAAAAGCUCACAGCUUUGAAAUGGCUCUUCUUUCCCAGGAGUCAUCUUGCUGAAAAUUUUGCCCAAACCAGAUCUGUCAGUGCGGGUCCCAAGUCCGGCACAGCCCCACCAUCCAUAAUGGGUUUGUAGGAAAUCAAGGAAAACCUUCCUUCUUCAGGCAUCACCUCCAGAGCUGUCUUCGGGUUCGGGCCGUGAUCACUGACCGGGUGACACAUAGCUAGUCUUGGAACCCUAGAGCAAAAGCUGUUAACGUCCGUGGAAAGACCAGAUGAAAACCUGCCCUUUGCCUCCCUAGGGAAAAGCAGAACACCAUGUGCCAUUUGAGCUAGAAAAGCCUGUUUGUCAAUCAGUCAAAGUGUCCAGAUUCCCUCUAACCAAGGGCCCCGUUGCCUGGGCCCAUGUUCACUUGCCAUCUCAAACCGUCUAGCACUUUCUGUCCACAUGUCCUGCCCAGAGCCACCCUAGACUGCCACUGGCUCAUAGCUACCAUAUGCCUUGCGUUUCUGAAAAGCCAAAGGGCUCAUUUAUUUACUCAGAGGUUCAAAUCUCCCAGAGCAGAUGCUUUGAGAGAAGGUGCAGCCUGGCAGUCCCGCUUGCCGGAGUGGUGUUUGCUGCAGCUGGGCACACACACCACAGUCCUUGCGAUGCCUUCUCCAGGUCCACAGCCAUGACUGGUAAGAGUGCCAGAGGCCAGGAGACCCAGCUCUCAUCCUUCCCUAAGGGAAAAGCCAGCACUUCUUCACAUCCUAAAAGUAAUGUUUGGUUUCCCAUCUCAUUGAUGUGGGAGCCGGGGUCUUACCCUGCAAGCGCUGUAUAGUCACGUCUCCUAGUCCUUAAUUGCUAAGAUGCUGCCAUACUCUGGAGCUGGCUUGUGGAGAUGCAGGCUAGAUGGGCAGCCACCUCCUGGAGGCAGCAUCUCUGAAGGAAGCUGAGAGCAGACAGCACCAGGUCAGGUCUGUGGACCAUUACACCCUCUGCUGCAGAAAUGAAGACACGUCCUCGAUGCUUUUUAGUGUUGCAGCCAGGAUCAACUCGCUACUCCCCAUGGUGCAUCUUUCACGUCCUUUUUGCUACAUCUGGCAUGGAGCUGUGUGUUGUAGAAUCACUGAACGCAAAAGGUUCUCCUGGAUGAGUUUAUCUGUAGUUAACUUUUAAGAAUAAUAAUGGUGAUAAUAAAGCUC